AUGGGCAGGUAGAUGGUCGCUCCUUUAACCACUGUGGUUAGGGGAGAGGAAAGUCCGGGCUCCGUAGGGCAGGACAGUGGCUAACAGCCACCGCCGAGCACUCAAUAAGUCGAGUGCACGGUAGGGAAAGUGCCACAGAAAAGAUACCGCCGAGCCCCCAACGCAUUGGGUGCUCGGUAAGGGUGAAAAGGUGGGGUAAGAGCCCACCGCUGUGGAGGUGACUUCACAGGCAUGGCAAACCCUGUCCGGAGCAAGGCCAAGUAGGUUCCGCCCCGAGGGUGGCCCGCCCGAAUGUGCGGAACGGGUAGGCCGCAUGAGUCAGGGAGCAAUCCCUGACCUUAGAUAAAUGACCAUCCUCGACAGAACCCGGCUUAUUCCUGCCCAUUAAA
rnacentral:RNase_P_RNA from 1 species